UGGGGAAUAUUGCACAAUGGGCGAAAGCCUGAUGCAGCGACGACGCGUGAGGGAUGACGGCCUUCGGGUUGUAAACUUCUUUCAGUAGGGACGAAGCGCAAGUGACGGUACCUGCAGAAGAAGCACCCGCUAACUACGUGCCAGUAGCCGCGGUAAUACGUCGGGUGCGAGCGUUGUCCGGCAUUACUGGGCGUAAAGAGCUCGUAGGCGGUUUGUCACGUCGUCUGUGAAAUCCUAGGGCUUAACCCUGGACGUGCAGGCAAUACGGGCUGACUUGAGUACUGCAGGAGAGACUGGAAUUUCUGGUGUAGCGGUGGAAUGCACAGAUAUCAGGGAGAACACCGAUGGCGAAGGCAGGUCUCUGGGUAGUAACUGACGCUGAGAAGCGAAAGCAUGGGUAGCGGACAGG
rnacentral:rRNA from 1 species